rnacentral:tRNA from 1 species
UUCUCUUAGUUGAAAAUACAAUAAGGGGUUUUCAAUCCCUCGGUCUUGAUUGCUCAAGAGAGAAUG